UGCCCCUUUCUAAAUGAAAAAAAUUGUGUAAAAUUUUAAUUUUUUUUCUAAAUAUUUCUUCUAUAUAUUUUAAGUAAUUUUUAUACGACUGCAAAAAAAAUUUGUGGUCGUAUAUUGGUAUGACGUUGGCGUCGGUGUCGUCUGGUUUUCGCACUCUAACUUAAGUUUAAGUGAAUGGAUCUCUAUGAAAUUUUACCAUAAGGUUCAAUACCACAAAAGGAAGGUUGGGAUUGAUUUUGGGGGUUAUGGUACCAAAAGUUAAGGAAUGAGGGGCCAAAAAUAAGCAUUUUUGUAACUUCCAGACAUAACUUGUGUGUUAGUGUAUGGAUCUCUCUGACAUUGUACUACAAGGUUCCAUAUCACAAAGAAAAUGCUGGGAUUGAUUUUGGGGGUAAUUGCCUCCAAAUUUUAGGAAUUAGGGGCCAAAAAGGGGCAAAAAACAAGCAUUUUUCUAGUUUCAUGACAAUAACUUGUGUGCAAGUGUAUGGAUCUUUCUGAAAAUGUACUACAAGGUUCCAUAUCACAAAGGGAAAGCUGGAAUUGAGUUUGGGGGUAAUUGCCCUAAACGUUUAG